rnacentral:rRNA from 1 species
UUCUGGGUAGCGACCGAUCUAAGUUCCUUGGAACAGGACGUCAUAGAGGGUGAGAAUCCCGUAUGUGACCGGCCCGCACCCUUUACGUAGCUCCUUCGACGAGUCGAGUUGUUUGGGAAUGCAGCUCUAAAUGGGAGGUAAAUUUCUUCUAAAGCUAAAUACCGGCCAGAGACCGAUAGCGCACAAGUAGAGUGAUCGAAAGAUGAAAAGUACUUUGGAAAGAGAGUUAAAAAGCACGUGAAAUUGUUGAAAGGGAAGCGCCUGCAACCAGACUUCGCGGCAGUGUUCCGCCGGUCUUCUGACCGGUUCAUUCUCUGUCGCGAGGCCAUCAUCGUCUGGGCCCGCCGGAUAAGACCUGAGGAAUGUGGCUCCCCCUCGGGGGAGUGUUAUAGCCUCUGGUGAUGCGGCGUGGCU